AGACCUUCGUCCUCAACUAUUCACUCGACACUAGCUCAUCAUAUCUACUGUUCGAUGCUGACUUGUAUUUUUCUUCAUUUACUAUCAACAAAAACUAUGUUUUAUUAUCAUGGAUUAACUCGAGUUCUUCUAAACUUCAGAUGGAACUGAUGAGCAGCAAGAUAGAGGUCAAGGCUCAAUCAGGAACUGGGAACGUAAAAGACCACCUGAGCAACAUGAAGCUCAUGAGAUGCCACUAUUACGUCGAGCAUCAAAACGGCCCGUAGAAUACAACUUUU